rnacentral:rRNA from 1 species
CAGUCGCCACGGUAAUACAGAGGGUGCAAGCGUUAAUCGGAAUUAUUGGGCGUAAAGCGCGCGUAGGUGGUUUGUUAAGUUGGAUGUGAAAGCCCCGGGCUCAACCUGGGAACUGCAUCCAAAACUGGCAAGCUAGAGUACGGUAGAGGGUGGUGGAAUUUCCUGUGUAGCGGUGAAAUGCGUAGAUAUAGGAAGGAACACCAGUGGCGAAGGCGACCACCUGGACUGAUACUGACACUGAGGUGCGAAAGCGUGGGGAGCAAACAGGAUUAGAUACCCCCGUAGUCCCUGUCUCUUAUAC